rnacentral:ncRNA from 1 species
AAACGACUGCCACCGGGUAGUGAAGCCUACAGCAUUCGCCGUAUAUCGUUAGGUCUUAGAAGAUAUACGCAGCGAAUGCUGUUUUUUGU